rnacentral:tRNA from 1 species
GGAGGGUACAGCUCAGUGGUAGAGUGCGUGCUUAGCAUGCACGAGGUCCUGGGUUCAAUACCCAGCAUUUCCA